CCUGCCGUCCGUGCGGCACGGCGGCGUCCUUGUCGGCGGCGGAGACGGCAUCCUUGUCGGCGGCAGAGACGGCUACGGAUGCAGAGGAGGAUGAGAAGGCGUCCGCCGUGCCUUGCGCGGGAGGACGGAGGACGCCUCGCCUGGGCGUGUGCUCGGUGAGGGGCGGCGCCCUUGCCGGCGUUGCCGGCGGCGGAGACGGCUUCUGCUGCGCGGCGGGCUGGAGCAUGGGGGGUAGUUGUCGGGCAACAUGAGGAGGCAGAGGCGGCCAAGGCAAUGAGGCACGGCGUCGGCUAGCCAAGGGGCGGCCGGAGCAGAGGACGUCCACUUCCCCAGUCUGCGCACUCAUCAUGGCAAGGCUAAUUCGAGUUAGCAACUUGGAGUAAUCACGUUCUCUCUAAUACUGUGUGCAGACCUAUCAUGUUUUCUGAAUUUCUGCCUGCAGCCCAAGUGCUACCAUGUUCCUUGAUAAAUUUCUUACUCUGAAUUUUUAUGUGCUUCCAUGUUCUGUACAUGUACAUGUACUCUGAAAUUCAUUCUAUCUUGUGCAGUCGGUAUUGGGUGUGUACUCAUGACUUCCAAAGCGCCACUUGAUGUAAAAAAUCAUAUGCACAAUGCUGCAAGCUUGGCUAAAGGUGGAUCUUUUUGCGAUCCUAUAUAGCAUGUUGUUGGAUGUGGCCGGGUUUUUUGUUGGUAAUUGUUGCGGGAGCAAGCAAAGGAGCCUGGCUUGGUACAUAUGGGUUAAUUGUUCUUGAUCAAUUGUCGUGCGUUAAUUGUUAGGUCUGGUAACAUCCUGCUCCCUUGUCUGAUUUGGGUUGAAUUCAUGACCGUGGCCUUCUCCAACAGAAAUCAGUGGAGUGCCCGACCCGGAUUGAAUUUCGCUGCUAUAAGAAGGAAGGGUCCUUGGCCGGAAUCUCCAUCAGGUUGCGUACUUGGACCAGAAAAUCCAUCAAAUCCCGGAGUACUUGGACCAGAAAAGCAUCGUGUCGCCUUCAAGUUCGCCGGAGGAAGAAGUGCCGAGUUUGCCGGAGGUAGAAGAACAUCCGUCGAGCCGUCCAAUAUCGCCAACGGCGGGCUACACCAGAGUAUUCAAGAAUCCUACCAUAUAGCAGUAUCAUCUUUGUUGCUGCACAUAUUUGGUUCGGGUUGGCCCAACCUAAAAAAUUCAGGGAAGACAAAGCUGGAAAACUAUAGAUGGUGCUUGCUACUCAGAUCUAUUCUGAUGCUUUCCUUACUGUUAGUUAGUUUUUUGCAUACUACUAUAGCUAAACCAUGAAUUGUUUGUUUCUGUUAGUUAGCUUUGUGCUUCUUCAUUGGUAUUCAAUUAACAUGAAGUAACCAUGUAGCUGGUGCUGAACUCAUGUUUUUUUCGUGACUAAUAAUAAGGAUUGGAUGAAGCAAGUCAGACACACUUCUAAGGGCCUGGAUUGCAAACUCAAUACUCCAGCGACUUCACCUUUGUGGACCUUGACUCGACUCUGGCCACCAGCGAGAAGUGAAGGCACAAGGCAGUGGACAAGGAUAGGAAAUCAAGCAUCUGCUUUGCUCUGUUUGCCUGUCAUCGUUAUUGCCUGUAGCUAGCUUUCAUCUGCUAUGCUCUGUUUUCUGAACUCUAAAUACUUGCAUGUAGCUUCCUCUGCUUCUGCUAUGUUUUCUGAACUCUUGUAUACUUGGUUGUAGCUUUAGGUCAGUUUCAGGCGUCAGGUCGACUCCGCUCGGGGCCUGAAAAUCAUCCGCCUUCCGACCACAGGACGGGCGGAUGCUGCCACCUCACGUUCAUGUCGGCUGCUGUCUAUCCCCUCUUUCUUUUUAGCAAGCAAUACACACUAGACUGUAUGAUAUUUAAAUUCUGCAAACGGCCUCGGAUUGAGAUGAUUCAAAAGGCAAAAUAGUUCGCUGCGACGAGGGGAGGAAUUUCCAUGUUAAACACUUCUUCAUUUGAGAUAGUUUUGAGGACUUGAUCAUACAUGCCAAAAAGUGGUGUCAAUACGGUCCCGCAUUGAAGAUCCCUUACAUGCUCGUGCAUGUUACUAUACAAUGUAUAUCCGUCUUUAUAUCGGAUUGCUCAACGUCGUGAGGUGUUCGUGGCAACAGUAUUUCACUCU